AAGCAGAACAACAACAAGGCAAUCUUUCAGCUGCACCUCACGGUCAAACACACCUUUCAAGGACUCCCAUGAAAACAGCGUAGCCACUGAUAUUGAUGAACGCCAUUUGUUGAUUUACACUCGUGGCAGGAUUUCAAAGAAUUAGAAGGAGGGCGUAAGAUGGAGUGGAAUACGAGAGACCAACACCUCAGUUUGCACAGGUGCCAUGCACAUCCACGAGCCAGGUUUCCACAGCAACGAGGGCUUUACAAACCUACUCUACCAUAGUUGCUGAGAGAGACAGAGCGCGCAAUAGCCUUGGCAGGUUCUAUGUGAGAUUAAGACGUUUUCCUCUAAACAGACUGUCAGAGGCACCCUAUGCCACGGCUGCACCUGUAGACAGACCAUCAAGGCCUGACAUGAAGGUCUUUGCAGACAUUCUCAGAUGCCUUCUGGAAAAAGGCCACUUUUGGGUCACACGCAACAUACUCGUAUCCCCAUGCGCACACACAUCAGAUGACCACAAGUCUUCUAUAACGGCGUUCUCAAAAUCAAGAUCAAUCCGACUUGAUUUUUCCAAAUGCUCUUGUGUGUCAUAACUUUACGUGACUCUAGACCGCAAUGCGUGCCAUCGCCAUGACAAGCUGCACUGGAUUAAACAUUAAAAAGCUGCAUGCCGUGCGCCUGUGUCUCCAUGCAUUUCAAAUGAGCUGACAGCGUGAUCCAAUCUCUUCACUUCUCACAGCACUGAUCAGCUGAAAUUCAUAUAACAGGUGUCGCAUAUGUGGACCCCAAAGUCAAUGAAAAUCCUAUUACAUUUGAUAUAACUGGCUUAAUGAAACUUGCCCAGCGGUGGUGGCCCAGACGUAAUUAAUAAAUGAUGCUCCAGAGAGAGUGCAAAUUGAAACCCUUUCCAUGUGAUUGCCAGGUUUCUGUUUGGAUAAUCAAGCAGGAGGGGUAACACACUAAACAAAUACAAAACCUUUUUUAGAAACUCUUAAAAGCCUUGUUUGUAUGACGGAUUACAGAUACACCUCUCCUACAUUUGCAUUCUGGUAUACUGAUGUCCUUAAAACAGCAAGAACUAAAUAGGCCACUAUGUAAAUGUUUUCUCUUCUUUUACACGUCUUUGAAAUGUGAUUUUAUAUAGCUGUCGAUUUAAUGCCGGGCCAUUUUUGUAUCAUUAUUGUAUCAUUAUUAAACUUUUUGUCCAGU
ensembl:lncRNA